AGCUGAUGAAAUCAGGGCUAAUCAGAGAAAAUCAGACUUUACCAACUCACACCAGGGCCAGAGGUCCAGUGGAUGUGAGCACACAAGAGAGGCAUGUUGCACGGCCACCAAUUUAAGAAGCUGCAGCACACGUUUCUUUCUGAGGCAUGCGAAGCUGACUAAUCCUUCAGGAACGUCUCAGGGGAGGAACUUCCCACAGAAAAGCACGUCUUUCUUCCAGAAAUCAGCAGACUGCUUACCUGCCUUUAGAGCAUGCAGACAAUGCCUGUUGUUGUGACCCCGUAUCUUCAGGCAUCUGUCCCAGCCUCAUGUAACCAGCCUAGCACAGGACUUGGUAUCAGUGCUCUUUGCCGCAUGCACCAGCAAUAAUGCCUGCAGAGAUGUAACAGAUAUACACAGAAAUGCACCUUCUUCCACUGCUAUCAGAAGUCAAAGAGGAGCUGCUCCCAUUUGUGCAGGAGAUGCUCAGAUGCUCCAGUGGAAGGCUGCAAGUCAAGUGGUUCCAGGGCAAGGGACUGAUGCCACCCUGCAGGGACACAAGAGCCCAAAGAGUGGAGUGUCAAAGUCCAGGACCAGUCUGCCUACUGGCAGUCCCACCGGAAUUGCUCUGGAGGAACCCAGCAUCCAGCACAGCUGCUGGGCUUCAUUGCUGCUGGAGUCACUCAUGCACCCAAGGGAAAGCCCAGGGCAGGCUCUGGAUGGACACUGUCUGAUUGGCACGGGAGCAGGAAAAUGAACAGUAUAAAUAAUAAAAUUGUGUUCUUGGGAGCAGCUGCCUGGCAGAUGACUAGGACAUGCAGCUGAAUACCUGGCAGAGAGCAGGGCAUUGAAAUGCCACAGGAGGGAAUAAAUGAUGUUCCCAUGGGUAUAUUAGAAAUGAAAAAAAAAGCC